AUUGAACGCUGGCGGCAGGCUUAACACAUGCAAGUCGAGCGGGGGAAGGUAGCUUGCUACCGGACCUAGCGGCGGACGGGUGAGUAUUGCUUGGGAAUCUGCCUAUUAGUGGGGGACAACAUCUCGAAAGGGCUGCUAAUACCGCAUACGUCCUACGGGAGAAAGCAGGGGAUCUUCGGACCUUGCGCUAAUAGAUGAGCCUAAGUCGGAUUAGCUAGUUGGUGGGGUAAAGGCCUACCAAGGCGACGAUCUGUAGCGGGUCUGAGAGGAUGAUCCGCCACACUGGGACUGAGACACGGCCCAGACUCCUACGGGAGGCAGCAGUGGGGAAUAUUGGACAAUGGGGGGAACCCUGAUCCAGCCAUGCCGCGUGUGUGAAGAAGGCCUUAUGGUUGUAAAGCACUUUAAGCGAGGAGGAGGCUACUUUAGUUAAUACCUAGGGAUAGUGGACGUUACUCGCAGAAUAAGCACCGGCUAACUCUGUG
rnacentral:rRNA from 1 species